AUUGAACGCUGGUGGCAGGCCUAACACAUGCAAGUCGAACGAGUGGCGGACGGGUGAGUAAUGUCUGGGAAACUGCCUGAUGGAGGGGGAUAACUACUGGAAACGGUAGCUAAUACCGCAUACAAUCGGAUGUGCCCAGAUGGGAUUAGCUAGUAGGUGGGGUAAAGGCUCACAUAGGCGACGAUCCCUAGCUGGUCUGAGAGGAGGACCAGCAACACUGGAACUGAUAAACGGUCCAGACUCCUACGUGAGGCAGGAGUGGGGAAUAUUGCACAAUGGGCGCAAGCCUGAUACAGCCAUGACGCGGGUAUGAAGAAGGCCUUCGGGUUGUAAAGUACUUUCAGCGGGGAGGAGUUACCCGCAGAAGAAGCACCGGCUAACUCCGUUCCAGCAGCCGCUGUAAUUC
rnacentral:rRNA from 1 species